CAGUCGCCGCGGUAAUACGUAGGGUGCAAGCGUUAAUCGGAAUUACUGGGCGUAAAGCGUGCGCAGGCGGUUAUAUAAGACAGAUGUGAAAUCCCCGGGCUCAACCUGGGAACUGCAUUUGUGACUGUAUAGCUAGAGUACGGCAGAGGGGGAUGGAAUUCCGCGUGUAGCAGUGAAAUGCGUAGAUAUGCGGAGGAACACCGAUGGCGAAGGCAAUCCCCUGGGCCUGUACUGACGCUUAUGCACGAAAGCGUGGGGAGCAAACAGGAUUAGAUACCCCGGUAGUCCCUGUCUCUUAUAC
rnacentral:rRNA from 1 species